AUUGAACGCUGGCGGCAGGCCUAACACAUGCAAGUCGAGCGGAGCGGCGGACGGGUGAGUAAUACCUAGGAAUCUGCCUGGUAGUGGGGGAUAACGUUCGGAAACGGACGCUAAUACCGCAUACUAUCAGAUGAGCCUAGGUCUGAUUAGCUAGUUGGAGGGGUAACGGCCCACCAAGGCGAUGAUCAGUAGCCGGUCUGAGAGGAUGAACGGCCACAUUGGGACUGAGACACGGCCCAGACUCCUACGGGAGGCAGCAGUGGGGAAUAUUGGACAAUGGGCGAAAGCCUGAUCCAGCCAUGCCGCGUGUGUGAAGAAGGUCUUCGGAUUGUAAAGCACUUUAAGUUGGGAGGCGUUACCAACAGAAUAAGCACCGGCUAACUUCGUGCCAGCAGCCGCGGUAAUUC
rnacentral:rRNA from 1 species